rnacentral:rRNA from 1 species
AUUGAACGCUGGCGGCAGGCCUAACACAUGCAAGUCGAGCGAGCGGCGGACGGGGGAGGAAUGUAUGGGGGCUGCCCGAUAGAGGGGGAUAACUACUGGAAACGGUGGCUAAUAACGCAUACUGGCGGAUAACCCAUAUGGGAUUAGCUAGUAGGUAAGGGAAUGGCUUACCUAGGCGACGAACCCUAGCUGGUCUGAGAGGAUGAUCAGCCACACUGGGACUGAGACACGGCCCAGACUCCUACGGAGGCAGCAGUGGGGAAUAUUGCACAAUGGGCGCAAGCCUGAUGCAGCCAUGCCGCGUGUAUGAAGAAGGCUCUAGGGUUGUAAAGUACUUUCAGUCGGGAGGCGUUACCGACAGAAGAAGCACCGGCUAACUCCGUGCCAGCAGCCGCGGUAAUAC